UAGGCUCAAUCCCACUUUCUGUUGAGUUGUUCCCUGAAGAGUGAGUGUAGGACUCAGGCUGAGAAUUGUAAGUUCUAGAUGGUCCAGAUUGACUGAUUUCUGCACUGCUGGAAUUGAGAAACGGCGGAUGUGUUGGCUGAGGAAUUUCUUGAUUAUCAGAUAACAUUUUCACUACCGUUGACAUUGAUGGCCGCAGCUCCGCAGAGGCUUGUACACAUAGUAGCCCAAUUUGAAGUAAUCGAGAUGCCUCCUCUUCUUGGAACUGACCCUCUAAGGCUGGAUCAACAGCUUCGCAUACCCUACCUAUUCCAUAAAGGUUCCAGACCUUUAAAAAAGAUAAGAAGUAAGAAGGUUUUGUUAGGGGAGGAUUAUUUGUCAUUGAAGCCUAAAUUAGCAGAAAUGCCAUAGGAAAAAAGAUUACCAUUUGUAUGAUGGAAUGUGAAUAUUGAAAGAAGGUAUUGUUCCUUUUUCCAGAUACAACUUCAAUUACCAGAGCACCAAAACUGUAAACGUCUGCUUUCUCUGUCAAUAUGCCGCGAAUAACAUACUCUGGGGCUAUGUAACCUCUACAGAUGCAAAUAUGAUUAAUGUCAAAUAAGAGAUGUAUUUAUAAGCAGAGAUAUUACAUUGUAUACUGCAAAGCUGUAAGAGUGGAAUGUCAAUCUGUGAACAGAACAAAAGGAAGAGGAAUUGAUACUUUACUAA